GGCACGGUGGGUUAGCGGUUAGCACGCCUGCCUAGCCCAACCAGGGGUUGGAGGUUCAAAUCCCGCCUCCGCCC